CAGCCGCCGCGGUAAUACGGAGGGUGCAAGCGUUAUCCGGAUUUAUUGGGUUUAAAGGGUCCGUAGGCGGAUCUGUAAGUCAGUGGUGAAAUCUCACAGCUUAACUGUGAAACUGCCAUUGAUACUGCAGGUCUUGAGUAAAUUUGAAGUGGCUGGAAUAAGUAGUGUAGCGGUGAAAUGCAUAGAUAUUACUUAGAACACCAAUUGCGAAGGCAGGUCACUAAGAUUUAACUGACGCUGAUGGACGAAAGCGUGGGGAGCGAACAGGAUUAGAUACCCGGGUAGUCCCUGUCUCUUAUAC
rnacentral:rRNA from 1 species